AUUUUACUCCCUCCGUUCCAAAAUUCUUGUUUUAGAUUUGUUUAAAUAUGAAUGUAUCUAGUCAAGUUUUANNNNUUAGAUACAUCCAUUUCUAGACAAAGUUAAGGCAAUAAUUUUGGGACGGAGGGAGUACUAG
rfam:Hordeum vulgare subsp. vulgare, WGS project CAJW01000000 data, contig: morex_contig_1588870